AGCAGUAGCCGCGGUAAUACGAAGGUCCCAAGCGUUGUUCGGAAUCACUGGGCGUAAAGGGAGCGUAGGCGGCGUGGUAAGUCAGAUGUGAAAUCCCGGGGCUCAACCCCGGAACUGCAUUUGAUACUGCCAUGCUUGAGGGUUGGAGAGGUAGCUGGAAUUCUUGGUGUAGCAGUGAAAUGCGUGGAUAUCAAGAGGAACACUCGUGGCGAAGGCGAGCUACUGGACAACAUCUGACGCUGGGGCUCGAAGGCCAGGGUAGCGAAAGGGAUUAGAUACCCCGGUAGUCCCUGUCUCUUAUAC
rnacentral:rRNA from 1 species